AAGGAGAAGCGCCGGGACUCCGGAGUGGUGUGCAUUUCAGGGGCGCGUGGAAACGCCCAGCAGUGCCAGGUGGCAGAAACGACUAAAGCUGGGACUGUGAGGCGCACCGGGUGGGAAGCGGCGGGUUGCACCAGGUCUCACGCACCAGGCUAGCCCGGGUUAGGGCCCACGGCUUUCCAACCAAGCUUUCCUGAAGUAACAAUCAAGAUAGUUGCAGUUUUACAAAGGCAUCGAGCGUUUU
rfam:Choloepus hoffmanni cont1.84532, whole genome shotgun sequence.